UUCCUAUAAUAUAUUAUAUAAUUUUUACUGAAUAUAUUUAUGUUUAUGUUCAUUUUUAUUUUUCCCUUGUUUGCAGAAAUGUAUUUAAUUAAAUCCAAUUAUUUGCUAUCAAACAAGAUCCUGGCAGCUGUAGAGUAUUUUUUUUUAAGUAGCUCAAUUUGACUAAUCUUUCAACUGUCCAGUUUGGGUGAACUUAUGCCCAGGAUAGCCUCAGAUUCCGGUCCUUGGCUGACAGGUGUGGACCCCAAUGUGGUCUUCUGCUGUUGUAGCCGAUCCACAACUAAGUUCGAUGUGUUGUGCAUGCUGAGAUGCUUUUCUGCUCAUCAUGGUUGUAAAGAGUGUAUAGUAUUGAGUUACUAUAUCCUUCCAGGCAACUUGAACCAAUCUGGCCAUUUUCUUCUUCAUCAUCACUUAUCAACAAGACAUUUCCACCCACAGAACUGUCGCUACUAGCCCAUCUGGUACUACUGGCUGAUUGGAUAACUGCAUAAAUGAGCAGGUGUACAAGUGUUUUAUUCAGGUGGACAGUGUUUGUAUAUAUUGGGGGUUCAAUAGGGGCUCAGCAGUAAUAAGUAAUAAUCCAAAUAUCAUACAUAAGUACAACAAAAUAACAACAACAACAACAACAACAACAACAACAACAACAACAACAAUAAUAAUAAUAAUAAUAAUAAUAAUAACAAUAAUAAUAAUAAUAAUAAUAAUAAUAAUAAUAAUAAUAAUAAUAAUAAUGGCUAGUGCACAUAUUUCAGAUAAGGUAAUUUUUCACAUUUUUACAGAUCCAAGAGAGAAAAGGACAAUAAGCACAGCGAGAGAGAGACAGUGAGUGAGAGAGAGAGAGAGGAAACCAAAAUAUUUAACUCAAUACAAUUAAACAAUCUAUGUGUCAGAGCACUAUAUGGAACACUGGAAGUAUAACAAUGCUUAGAAAUUAACAGUUGGUGUAGUACACAUUUGGCAUUGUUAUGUAGUAGGAAGUGGUUCACAUUUCUCCAAUGAGCAACUCACCAAUUUUUCUUUUUCUUUUUUUUUUUUUUCUUGCAUGAGAACCAAUAUGACUGUGAACAUUGUUUAUCUUGUUUUUAAUUUUCUUGUCUCUGCUUCUUUAAUUUGGAUUACAAUUUUUUCAUUUAGUCAUUAGAUAGAGAAUAUUCUUUCUCUAGUGCUAGCCAGUUAGCAAACUGACCUUGGGCCAAGAUUGGGUAAAUGUGAUAUUGUCCACUGGGCCAAUAUUGGACCACCAGCAUACAUAAACCUUAAAAUGGACCUUGCCAACACUGGCCCAACCAACAUACAUAAACAUAACUACCCAAAAUGGACGUUUGGUACCUGGGCAUUAGUGUAGUUUCUGAUUUGAACUUAUGACUACAGUUUGUCAGAAUGGUUGUGCUUAGAAAUGUUUACAGUCAAAGGCCUUUCAUAGACACUUUGAUAUUAAUCCCUGAAUAUUUGUUAAAUUUCUCUGCUAUCUUAAUAACCCUGUGAUGUCGGCUUGACUGUACAUCUAUGAACAGAGCCUGUCUUUGAUAACAAACAAAGGUCCUGCACUGGGUCUCAGUUUUGAGAAUGAGAUCUUCUAGCUGUGUCAGAGCCAUAUUGAGGAUAGUGUUGGUGAAUGGACAGCCAGGCUGCAAAAGUCUGAGUUUCCCAGAAGAACCUUGGACUUCAGGAAGAAAGCAGUCCAGAAUGCUGAAGUCUGGUGGUGGUGCAGAGGGGAUUUGUUUCAGAUUCCAAAGAAGACUUUGUUCCAGGAAGGACCACCUGAUUUUUUGGGUGCAGAUCUCAAAGGUCAUAAUAAGGAGGGUGUCCACCUUUGCUUUCUUUCUUCUCUUGAAAGAAGGGGUAAUGAAAGCACUGAGGCGUUUGGCCAAAAGUCGAGAGAAUAUUAAAUAGUCCACACUGAUGUGUCUGUCACCUGAAAGAUGAGAUUCUUUGAAAGCUUCAGGUACAUGUUUGUUCUUUACCAUGAGAUUGAAUUUUAUCUUUAAUAAUUCUGUUAUUGGACAUUGAAACCUUUUGUAAUAAUCUAUUUCCAACUGAUUAGAUCGUUGCUUUUCUGAGUCAGUCAAAGACUUCAUAGCACUCAGUAUUUCUGCCCCAUUAAUCUUCCCUGGUCUCCUGUCAGGAUCAUAUCUAAAUUCUUUCAGCAUUGACGCUACAAUUGGAAUUUUAUUUUGGGACUGCUUCUGGACUCUGACUUUUAGAACAACAGGAUCAUGAUCAGAAAUAUUAUCACUCUGUAUCUUAAUUUUACACCCCCUUUCUAUUUUGUCCUCUGCCAUAAAAAACAUGUCUAACCUGGAGUAACACUCAUUCUGACAUCGUGUAAAUCCAUCAUCAGUUGAGUGUAAGAAUGACCAGCUGUCUCUGAGAUUCAGAGAUGCAGUAAAGUCUUCUAAUUUAUCUCUUAAUCGUGAAUUCCUUGAAGAUGGAGGUCUCCGAUCUAAUCUGGGAUGCAAAACUGUGUUGAAAUCACCUCCAACCACUAGCACACCCUCAGCUGUUUCCAUCAAGUACUCUUUCAGUCUACC
ensembl:lncRNA